rnacentral:rRNA from 1 species
UACGUAGGGUGCAAGCGUUGUCCGGAAUUAUUGGGCGUAAAGAGCUCGUAGGUGGCCUGUCGCGUCGGCUGUGAAAACUCGGGGCUCAACUCCGAGCUUGCAGUCGAUACGGGCAGGCUAGAGUUCGGCAGGGGAGACUGGAAUUCCUGGUGUAGCGGUGAAAUGCGCAGAUAUCAGGAGGAACACCGAUGGCGAAGGCAGCUCGCUGGGACGGUACUGACGCUGAGGCGCGAAAGCGUGGGGAGCAAACAGG